GACCGACUUCCGGCCUUCAAGGGCAAGAGGGGUAUAUACGUAUAUAUCAUCGCACGGUGUGUCCCGGAAGGCUUGAUAUGCUAGUCCCGCGGGACAAGGCGAGCCGAGGAGUUUGUGUGGAAGUUUGCAUCUGAGAGUGCGAGAGCUGGACGGAGUGUUACAGAGCCGCGAUGCCUUCUCGUUUUGUUUUGUUUUGUUUUUGAUACAGUGUCUCGCUCUUCCGCCCAGUCUCGAGUGCAGUGGUGAGAACACGGCUUACUGCAGCCUCAAAAUCCUGGACCCAAAAGAUCCUCCCACCUCAGCCUGCCUCCCAGGUAGCUGGGACUACAGGCGCACAACACCAUCGCUUCUUGGAUUAAAAGAAAAGGAUGAAACGGGCCCCAGAAAGAGGCGGUGACGUCCCAGAACCCAUGGCAGGGGAGUUGGGAAAAUAAAUAUUUGUAUUGUUUUAA
rnacentral:lncRNA from 10 species